GUCGAGCGAGGUUACUGUUUUGGAUCCCUUCGGGGUGAAGAAGCUUUAACCUAGCGGCGGACGGGUGAGUAACGCGUGGGUAACCUACCCCAAAGUCCGGGAUAACAGCGGGAAACCGCUGCUAAUACCGGAUGUCUUUACCUUGGGGCAUCUUGAGGUAAAGAAAGGUAACGCUUUGGGAUGGGCCCGCGUCCCAUUAGCUAGUUGGUGAGGUAACGGCUCACCAAGGCGACGAUGGGUAGCCGGCCUGAGAGGGUGGACGGCCACACUGGGACUGAGACACGGCCCAGACUCCUACGGGAGGCAGCAGUAGGGAAUAUUGCGCAAUGGACGGAAGUCUGACGCAGCGACGCCGCGUGAGCGAUGAAGGUCUUCGGAUCGUAAAGCUCUGUCCUUGGGGAAGAAGGUCUUCGGACUUGACGGUACCCAAGAAGAAAGCCCCGGCUAACUACGUGCCAGCAGACGCGGUAAUACGUAGGGGGCGAGCGUUGUCCGGAAUUACUGGGCGUAAAGGGUGCGUAGGCGGCCCUUUAAGUCGGAUGUGAAAGCCCGCGGCUUAACCGCGGAAUGGCAUUCGAAACUGGAGGGCUUGAGUGUCGGAGAGGGUAGUGGAAUUCCCAGUGUAGCGGUGAAAUGCGUAGAUAUUGGGAGGAACACCAGUGGCGAAGGCGACUACCUGGACGAUAACUGACGCUGAGGCACGAAAGCUAGGGGAGCAAACAGGAUUAGAUACCCUG
rnacentral:rRNA from 1 species